rnacentral:lncRNA from 1 species
UUUCUUUCCUACAUAUGACUAUUCCAGGUUAAAUGCUGGCGUGUAAACACAUUUAAUACAGGAGUAAUAUAAGUUCAGGUAGACGUGAAUCUUUCUGUCCCCUGUAAGAAUUUAUGAGUGGUAGUAACUAACGAUGGUACUCUACUUUGUUUCAUCUUUUAGAUUGUAGUGCCUAGUUUUAACUGUCCUUUGUCUUCUAUCGUAAAUCAGAUCCCACUAUGCUUAAGAGCAUCUGUUGUAGGAAGGAAAAAGAUCAGUAUCACUUAUUUAUUUAUAUAUUUAUUUAUUUUAAGCUGUUAAUUAAUUUUUAAAUCGAAGUAUGGUUGCUAUACACUCUAAGUUACAGGCAUACAAUAUAUUGAUCCACAGUUUUUAAAGGUUAUACUUCAUUUAUAAUUAUUAUAAAAUAUUGGCUGUGUUCCCUGUAUUAUGCUAUGCUCUAUAUCCUUAUAACCUAUACCUAAUAGUUUGCAUUUUUUUUUUUUUUUUUAGGGCUGCACUUGUGGCAUAUGGAAGUUCCCAGGCUUAGGGUCUGAAUUGAAGCUAUAGCGGCCGGCCUAUACCAUAGCUGCAGCAACUUGGAAUAUGAGCCUUGUCUGCGACCUACACCACAGCUCACAGCAAUGCUGGAUUGUUAACCCACUGAGCAAAGCCAGGGAUUGAACCCAUGUCCUCAUGGAUACUAGUUGGGUUCAUUACUGCUGAGCUAUGACAGGAACUCCAGUUUGCACAUCUUAAUACCCUACCUCUCUACUACCCUCCCUCCCCCACUGGUAACCACUGGUUUGUUCUGAGUCUGCUUCUUUUUUGUUAUAUUCAUUAGUUUACUGUAUUUGUUAGAUACCACAUAUAGGUCAUAUCAUAGAGUAUUGGUCUUUAUCUGAUUUAUUUCACUUAGCACACAUAAUGCCUUCCAAAUCCAUCCAUGUUGCUUCAAUUGGAAAUAUUUUCUUCUUUUUAUGGCUGAGUAGUAUUCCAUUGUAUAUAUUCCACGAAUAUAUUAUAUCUUUAUCCAUUCAUAUGUUUAUGGUCACUCAGGUUGCUUCCUCUUGGCUACUGUAAAUAAUGCUGCUGUGAACACUGGGGUGCACAUAUCUUUUUAAAUUAGUGUUUUGGGGGUUUUUUGGGGAUAUAUAUGCAGAAGUGGAAUUGCUGAGUCAUACAUUUCUAUUUUUAGCUUUUUGGGAAAAUUCCAUACUGUUUUCCAUACACAAUUUAUAUUCCUAUCUACAGGGUUCAAGAGUUCCCUUUUCUCUUCAUCCUUGGCAAUGUUUGUUAUUUGUGUUCUUUUUGAUGAUAGCCAUUCUGACAGGUGUGAGGUGAUACUUUAUCGUGGUUUUGAUUUGCACUUCCCUGAUGAUUAGCGAUAUUAAACAUCUUUUUAUAUGCCUAUUGGCCAUCUGUAUGUCUUCCUUAGAAAAAUGUCUAUUCAGGUCUUCUGCCCAUUUUUAAUUGGGUUGUUUGUUCUUUUGAUGAGCUGUUGGAUAUACCCCCUUAUUGGGCAUAUCAUGAUAUAAAAUAUCAUUUGCAAAUAUUUUAUCCCAUUCAGGAUGUUGUCUUUUCAUUUUGUCAAUGGUUUCCUUGGCUAUGCCAAAGUUUGUAACUUUAAUUAGGUUCCAUUUGUUUAUUUUUGCCUUUAUUUUACUUUCUUUAGAAGAUGAAUCCAAAAGAAAUUAUUGCUAUGAUUUAUGUCAAAGAAUUGCUCUGCCUAUGUUUUCUUCUAAGAGUUUCAUAUUAUCCAGUUUUACAUUUAGUCUUUAAUCCAUUUUGAGUUUAUUUUUGUAUAUGCUGCUAAAUAAUGUUUUAAUUUCAUUUUUUUACAUGCAGCUGUCCAGUUUUCCCAAGGCCAACUUAUUGAAGAGACUGUCUUUUCUCCAUUCUAUAUUCUUGCCUCCUUUGUCACAGAUUGUUGAUCAUAAGUGUGCGGGUUUAUUUCUGGGUUCUCUAUCCGAAGUUGUGUUUCUGCAUCAAUUACAAAAUAAGACAUAAAUGAGUAUCCUUUAAAAAUUAUGGACAUAAGCACUGCCUUAGAUUCUACGCUGUGGAAUUAUAUAACCUCAGCUAAAAUUAAAGCCAGGACAAGUCUGUAGGGGUAGCUCUCACUCUCUGCCAUACAUAAUCAACUACUUCAAACAGGAAAAGACUUUAGUCUCUAUGUCCAACAGGAAGGUGCCUUUUUUUAAUUAUCCAGCAGAAAGAAGAAAAUUUCUCUCCACCCCAAUCUGAGGCUGUAGCAGCCCAACCAAUGAGAAGCCUCCAUAGUUACCACAGCCCCUCCCAACCCUCACCUUUUCCCUGCAAAGGCAAGUACCCUCCUUUCUUCUAGCUCUUCUUUUAACAACAUUAACUUUGUGUUUUAUUGGACAUAAUGUUAUUAGUGUGUCUUUUCAUAUCAUUUGGAAAUGUGUUCCUAUAAUUCCAAAAUUAAAACUUACUCUUUUUUUCUUUUUGACCACUUCUGUGGCAUGUGAAACUUCCCAGGCCAGAGAUUGAACUUGUGCCACAACUGUAACCAGAGCCACAGGAGUGACAACGCAGGAUCCUAAACUUGCUGAGCCACCAGGGAACUCCAAAAACUUACUCUUAAAUAUUUGAAUUCUUGUUUUAUAAUUCUUGCUUUAGUGAAUAUCAUAUACUAAAAUAUCCAAUGGAAUAAUUUUGUGUGAUUAGAAGUCAUGUCCAAUAAAGUUAAGCAAGACUACAGCUUUUAUAUAAAGAGAGAUGAGCUUGAUUUAGGAUUUUGUGUAUCUUAUGUUGCUAGAUUGCUUAACCUAGAAAGGGGAAAAUCCUAAAAUGGAGAUUAAUUCUUGAUACUACAAUAACACCACAUCUAGGCUUCUGACUGGCUUGUGUGAAAUGAAUGUGUGGGUUUCUCAGACAACCACCUCACAGCACUCAGACCAGUAUGAUUUACCUAGUAUUUUGGACAUCCAGGGAGAAAAGGCUUAGACUUGAGGGUGGUUCCCUUCUCCCUGGGCAGAAGGGAAGGGGGAAGGAGGAGGAAAGAAAGAGAACUGUAUUUAAAAUUUUACCUUCUUAGGGUAGAUACUGAGUAUUCCAAAGCUUGUAAAUAAUAGGAUAAUGCUCCCCACUGAAAUUAGGACCUUGUCUUUAUGUUAUAAAUAAAUUUAUAAUUUCCUAAUUGCUAUUGAUAUUUGUUGCAGCCUAAACAAGCAGAUGUGUUUUUAAAUUAGAUUUGCCUAUAAUAAACUAAUGGAUGUCUCAAGUUCAAUUUUUUCUUAGACCCUUAUUUUAUGAAAGUAUUUUAAUUGUGUUUACUGAAAGAAAUAUGCACAAUUAAAUUGACUUCUCUGUGAUUACAUAUUUCAUAACUUCCUUUGAUAUAUAAUCUUUAUUGAUAAAGUGGUUAUUCUCAAAAGUAAAUGGAGGCAAAUGAUUGUGGUAAACAGUAAAAUUAAAUAUUUAUAAAUAAAUAUCAAAUGUAUUUCCUCUAAAAUGAGUCAUUUCUGGAGAAGACACAUGUGCUUAUAAACGUGAUUUAGGCACUUAAUAUAUUAAGUUUAUUCAGUAUUUUCUCAAAACAGUUAAUCUAUUUUUCUCUCUCUCUUGCUUUUUCUUUUUAGGGUCGCACCUGCGGCACAUGGAAGUUCCUAGGCUAGGGUGGAAUCAGAGCGAGUGUAGCUGCUGGCCUGCACCACAGCCACAGCAACAUAGGAUCCAAGCUGUUUCUGUGAACUACACCACAGCUCAACACCAGAUCCUUAACCCACUGAGCAAGGCCAGGGAUUAAACCUGUGUCCUCAUGGAUGCUAGUUGAGUUGUUACCACUGAGCCACAAUGGGAACUCCCAAAACAGUUAAUUUAUUUUUCAUUUAACUACUGUUGUUUAAAAAAUUACUCCAAGACUUGUUGGCUUAAAACAACACAAUUUUGCUAUGCCUCACAAUUUUGUUGUGCCUCACAAUUUUGUUAUGCCUCACAAUGUGUGGAUUGGGAUUUGGCAAUGGCUUUUUGAUUUCAUAUUACUAGGACUCACUGGAAUGUCCAGGAUGCCUGCUUCCCUCACAUCUUCCACUUGGGCUGGACUGACUCUCUUGGGGUCAGAUCGUUGAGUCUUUGGUUCCUCCUGUUGGCUGGGCUCGUUGGUCUUCUCCAGAUAGCAUCAGAGCCUCUCUCCAUGUGGCCUCUCUAUGUAGUUCUUCUGGCAAGGUAGCCAGACUCCUCAAGUUGUCAGGUAUAAGCCUGGAACUAACACACAGUCACGUCUGUCACAUUGUGUUGGCUAAAGUAAAAUCACAGGGUCAGCCUAGAUUCACUGUGGGAGAGGACACACAGGGUAUGAAUACUAGGAUGAGUGGUUCAUCAGGGAAGAGGGAGUACCUUGCGGAGUUUAGCUGCUUCAGUCCAUGUGUUCCUUGACCACAUCAUUUCCUGGAUCCUCAAGGGUAAAAACUGAAUAUUUCUCUUGGUGUAUCUUUUGUGUUGUCUGAGGCUAAGAAAUGCCUUUCACAAGCAACAAGUUCCUAUUACAUAGCACGGGGAACUAUAUUCAAUAUCCUGUAAUAAACCAUAAUGGAAAAGAAUAUGAAAAAGAAUACAUAUAGAAGUUCUCACUGUGGCGCAGUGGGUUAAAGAUCUGGUGUUGCUGAAGCUGUGGUAUAGGCUGCAGGUGCAAUCUGGUUUGAUCCCUGGCCAGGGAACUUCCAAAUGCCACAGGUAUAGC